UAGGUACCAUUCGGUGCUUGAAUUUUAUAAAAACAAAAAUAAGGUUAAUUCAAUUACAUUGAUAACUUAGUCCAACUGAAUUUUCAAUUUAAUGAUUUUGAUAUAAACCCUAAAAAACUCCAAACUGAAAAGACAGAGAGAAAGAGGGUGUGAACCUCAUAAAUUGAAGUGAUAGGGGUGUUAUUGUCGCCACCGUCGUGCUAGGUGUUGUUACCGUCAUAUAUCGCCGCUGUUAGAUCCAACUGAUUUUCUUUGUUAUGUGCUACCAUAGAGAGCGCAGCUGGGGGAGAACGUGAGAACCAAGGGGGAGGAGGUGGGGAUCAGUGCCAAGGAGGUGAUGGCGCGAGGUGGUGAAAGUGGUGGAGAGGGAGUUCUAGAAAGAGAGAGAACUGGUGCAGAGUGAUGGAGAGGGG
rnacentral:lncRNA from 1 species